GUGAGAUGUGCCUUUCGCUUUCUGCCAUGAUUGUGAGGUCUCCUCAGCCACGUAAAACUGCAAGAGGGAGUAUCUGUUCUUCGCUAUUCCAUCUUGGCUGCUUUCUGAAUCCUUUGAGUGAGGCAUUGGAAGAUGCUUUCCUGGGAAUUUUACUGCCCAUCCAGUCCUCAGUGGGGGCCCAUAUUUCACAGAUUUGUUUCGUUUAAUCAAGAAGACAGGGCCCAACCACCAUUAUUUCAUUCAAUAGAGUAGAACACUGAAACUGGCUAGAGUCUCCAAUUCUGCCCAAAUUGGAGUGAAGGAAGUGAAGGAGAUUAAGGUCUGUAAAACUCUCCCUUCAGCCUGCUCAAUGCUAUGAGAAAAUACUUGGAUCUUUGUCAAUCCUAGAUUUUCACCCUACCUCCAGUCUUUCCCAGCAAAUCGACUAUGCCCGAGU
rnacentral:lncRNA from 1 species